rnacentral:rRNA from 1 species
GACGAACGCUGGCGGCGUGCCUAAUACAUGCAAGUAGAACGCAGUUGCGAACAGGUGAGUAACGCGUAGGUAACUGCCGCAACACGGCGGAUAACGAGUGGAAACAAUAGCUAAUACGGGCUACUGUGAGAGGGACCUGCGGUGUAUUAGCUAGUUGGUGAGGUAAAGGCGCACCAAGCCGACGAUACAGAGCCGACCUGAGAGGUUGAUCGGCCAGACGUGGACUGAGACACGGCCCAGACUCCUACGGGAGGCAGCAGUAGGGAAUCUGCGGAAAUGGACGGAAGUCUGACCGAGCAACGCCGCGUGAGUGAAGAAGGUUUUCGGAUCGUAAAGCUCUGUUGUUAGAGAAGCGGUAACUAACCAGAAAGCGACGGCUAACUACGUGCCAGCAGCCGCGGUAAUAC